UACAGAGGGUGCAAGCGUUAAUCGGAAUUACUGGGCGUAAAGCGUGCGUAGACGGUUAUGUAAGUCGAGUGUGAAAGCCCCCCGGCUCAACUGGGGAGGGUCAUUCGAUACUGAUCGACUCGAAGGCAGGAGAGGGUAGUGGAAUUCCCGGUGUAGUGGUGAAAUGCGUAGAGAUCGGGAGGAACACCAGUGGCGAAGGCGACUACCUGGCCUGUUCUUGACGCUGAGGCGCGAAAGCUAGGGGAGCAAACGGG
rnacentral:rRNA from 1 species